GUGAGAUGUUGGGUUAAGUCCCGCAACGAGCGCAACCCCUACGUUAGUUGCUAACGCGUGAAGGCGAGCACUCUAGACGAACUGCCGUUGACAAAACGGAGGAAGGUGGGAUGACGUCAAAUCAUCAUGCCCUUAUGUUCUGGGCUACACACGUGCUACAAUGGCCGGUACAGACGGACGCAAAGCCGCGAGGUGGAGCAAAUCCUAAAAAGCCGGUCUCAGUUCGGAUUGCAGGCUGCAAUUCGCCUGCAUGAAGUCGGAAUCGCUAGUAAUCGCAGGUCAGCAUACUGCGGUGAAUACGUUCCCGGGCCUU
rnacentral:rRNA from 1 species